UAGAGGGUGCUCGAAAGAGAGCCGUAACACAGGUGCUGCAUGGCUGUCGUCAGCUCGUGUCGUGAGAUGUUGGGUUAAGUCCCGCAACGAGCGCAACCCUUGUCAUUAGUUGCUACAUUCAGUUGGGCACUCUAAUGAGACUGCCGGUGACAAGCCGGAGGAAGGUGGGGAUGACGUCAAGUCCUCAUGGCCCUUAUAGGUGGGGCUACACACGUCAUACAAUGGCUGGUACAAAGGGUUGCCAACCCGCGAGGGGGAGCCAAUCCCAUAAAGCCAGUCGUAGUCCGGAUCAUAGUCUGCAACUCGACUACGUGAAGUCGGAAUCGCUAGUAAUCGUGGAUCAGAAUGUCACGGUGAAUACGUUCCCGGGUCUU
rnacentral:rRNA from 1 species